UUCUUUAAAAGAUAAGUUUAUGUUUAACAAGUAUUUAAUCUCAUCAAGUAAAAAUUAUAACUGUAUGUUAUAAUUUGACAUUUUUUUAUUGAUGCAAGAUAUUGAACAUAUAUAAAUACUAUACUAGAUAUCCAUUGGUACUAAAAUAAAAGUAACGGCGAAUCUUUAAAUGUGGAAAAAAGAAAUUUUCCUGCCAUGAUUAUUGCAAGAAAAAAAAAUAAAAAAAAAUACAAAACAAACUCUGUAAGCUUAUAUUUUCGUAAAAUUCAGAAAUAGAAUGGUC
rnacentral:lncRNA from 1 species